GGGCAUGUGGUCUAGUGGUAUGACGUCUGCUUCGCAUCAAAUCUGCGACUGAAUCGGCUUCAGUGUUCGAAUUCAGCAGAAGGUCCCGGGUUCAAAUCCCGUCUUGUCCA